rnacentral:rRNA from 1 species
AGAGUUUGAUCAUGGCUCAGAACGAACGCUGGCGGCGUGCUUAACACAUGCAAGUCGAGUGCGCGCCUGUAGCAAUACAGGUGGCGCACGGCGCACGGGUGCGUAACACGUGGGUAACCUGCCCUUUGGUGGGGAAUAACUCCGCGAAAGCGAAGCUAAUUCCGCAUAAGAUCCGCAAGGAUGAAAGCCGAAAGGCGCCGAUGGAGGGGCCCGCGCACGAUUAGCUAGUUGGUAGGGUAAUGGCCUACCAAGGCUUUGAUCGUUAGCUGGUCUGAGAGGAUGGCCAGCCACACUGGAACUGAGACACGGUCCAGACUCCUACGGGAGGCAGCAGUGGGGAAUCUUGCACAAUGGGCGAAAGCCUGAUGCAGCGACGCCGCGUGGGGGAUGAAGCUUCUCGGAGUGUAAACCCCUUUCGAUCCGGACGAAUGCCCGCAAGGGAUUGACGGUACGGAUAUAAGAAGCCCCGGCUAACUACGUGCCAGCAGCCGCGGUAAUACGUAGGGGGCCAGCGUUGUUCGGAAUUACUGGGUGUAAAGGGUUCGUAGGCGGUGCGGCAAGUUGGGAGUGAAAUCUCUGGGCUCAACCCAGAGGCUGCUUCCAAAACUGCCGUGCUUGAGUGUGGGAGAGGCUCGUGGAAUUGCAGGUGUAGCGGGAAAUGCGUAGAUAUCUGCAGGAACACCCGUGGCGAAAGCGGCGAGCUGGACCACUACUGACGCUGAGACGAAGCUACUAGGGGAGCAAACAGGAUUAGAUACCCUAGUAGUCC